GUAACAACACCAAAUUCAAGCAAAUUUAUUGAACAAACUUUCCUUGGAGUUUCUGUUGUGGCCACUCAAGGCAGAUGUUUUCAAAUCUUGGGGAUCAAGAAGUCCCAAGGCAUCAGCUACUACUGGGACAUUAUCUAUCAAAGUAACAUUAUUUAUUAGGAAGCUGAUGAAUCAACGCCAGAGAUUUGCACUUAGGAGUUGUUCUCGAGGACCAGCCAUGUUGCAGCCCUACAACUCUGGCCAUGCAGAGGUCUCUUGCACACCCCCAGGAGCAGAGGCGGACUUAUCCAUGCAGGCACACUCCUGGUCACCCUCCACUGCUUCAGCAAAACACGGCCCAGCUGUUGAGAGCACAGCUGGAUUUCCUUUCAACAGUGCUGUUGCUGCUGCCAUCGUUCACAAAGGCUGGAAGCCUGGUAAAAAAAUGUGGCUGUAGGUUGCUCUUACACAGAUGCUUUCACAUCCUGGGGCCAGCUGGCAGCCUGCAGGGCACUGCUGUCCUCAGCGGUGUCUAACUGUGGAAAAAAAAAGUGCAGGUUAGAAGAGAGGAGCUGUCCUUGUCCAGUCAAGCCUAUGAACGCACAGAUGCUGGUGGACAUCCAUGUAUUAUUCCUUUGUGUAGGAGCAUGUCAGAGUCCAUGACUCUGCUAGAGUAAGUGGUACAUAAACAUACAUAGAUGUGUAUAUAUAUUCACAUAAAAAGCAGAUACAUAGCCCUGAGGGGUGUGAUCAGCCACUGGGUUUAUCAAGAAGAGCUUGUACCUUAGUUUGUGCAUCAGCAAAGCACUUUUCAAGUAUGGACUUUUCAUGUUGGCAUUCUAAAUACUCCUUUUCAAAGCACAUUAAUCUCUGUAAGCUUUUUCUUUAUUAAUAUGCUGUAAGCUUCAAAGUAUUGUUUCCUCCCAACAUAGCCUCAAAUACUAAGGAGGCACUUGUCCUUGCCUAAUCACAUCUCCAAGUAAGCAAAUAUUGGCAAAAAAUCAUAAACCUGAUUGUUCCCUACAAUCAAAUGAUGUUGAAUUUGGUGGCCAUUCUCACCAUUUAUAAAUAUGAAUCACAAAUAUAUGUUGCCUCAUGGCAUCAUAAAUUGACUUUCUCCUAAAAAACCCCAGUCAAAUGCUCUAAUUCAGCUCUCAGAUGGAGAGCUGUUAAAAUUAACAACAGACCAAAGAUGA